GCGUGAAUGCAUGUGCUGUCUUUCGCUAAGCUGCCGUUAGACAGUUUGCACAGUGAUAUUGGACCCACUGAGAAAGAACAAUCCUGUCGCUAGCAGCACCUGCCCUGGAGAUCCUUGCCAGGAGAUGAGUUAAAGGGCACUUCUGGGAUGUCUACAGAAGGACACGGGAAAGCAAACAAAUGACAAGAUGACAUCAUUCUUAAGGAACACACAAAUGACUGCACAGACAGGAACCAUGACUCAGCCAUCUGCCAGUGACUCAGCUAGAAACCUUCAGUCAAAUAAAGUCCACUACAAUGUCCUUUGAGAUGGGCUAAGCUGAAUUCUUCCCGUGGACCUUGGCAGAGCCUGGCUCCCUGCACAGUUGGUCAGGGACAUAUGCAGAAAAGGCAUGUGGAGGUCAGCCCCGCACAGUGACACCCAGAGAGAAGGCAGACACGCUGAACUAGAGACAUACCACUGACAUGAGGUCAGAACCCCAUGCUCCCCAUCGCUUGGCUUCAUCCAAGCCAGGACAGAACUAUGGGACACCUAGACUAUCCAGGCCUGACCACCAAGAGCCCUUGCCUGCCUGUAGAGUCUACAAGAAGAAUUCAAGCAGACUUUUAAUUGUGGAGGGCUUUUAAAAUUUUUUAACUAGAGUGCUAUUUAUUUUUA